rnacentral:rRNA from 1 species
UACGGGGGGGGCAAGCGUUGUUCGGAAUUACUGGGCGUAAAGGGCUCGUAGGUGGCCCCAUAAGUCAGACGUGAAAUCCCUCGGCUCAACCGAGGAACUGCGUCUGAGACUGCGGGGCUUGAAUCCGGGAGAGGGAUGCGGAAUUCCAGGUGUAGCGGUGAAAUGCGUAGAUAUCUGGAGGAACACCGGUGGCGAAGGCGGCAUCCUGGACCGGUAUUGACACUGAGGAGCGAAAGCGUGGGGAGCAAACAGG